rnacentral:rRNA from 1 species
GACGAACGCUGGCGGUGUGCUUAACACAUGCAAGUCGAACGGUAAGGCCCUUUCGUUGGUACACGGGUGGUGAACGGGUGAGUAACACGUGAGUAACCUGCCCUCAUCUCUGAGAUAACAGUCGCUAACGGUUGCUAGUACUGGAUAUGAGUCUGCAUGUCAUCCUGUGGGUUGGAAAGAUUUUUUGGUUCGGGAUGGACGCGAGGCCUAUGAGCUUGCUGGUUAGGCAGUGGCUGACGAAGGCUGCGACGGGUAGCCGGCCUGAGAGGGCGACCGGCCACAUUGGGCCUAAGAGACGGCCCAGACUCGUACCGGAGGCAGCAGUGGAGAAUAUUGCGCAGUGGACGGAAGUCUGAUGCAGAGACGCCGGGUGCGGAAUGACGGGUUUCGGGUUGUAAACCGAUUUGAAUGGUGCCGAAGAUUUUUGUGACGGUAGCAGUAGGAGAAGCACGGGCUAACUACGU